ensembl:lncRNA
GAAGGAACUGCUAGGCGUGUGUGUGGAUCCUGCUCCCGUGACAUGUAUUAAUUAUAGGUUGUCUGUCAAUCCCCAGUGAGACAGAAGGGACUUUCCCUUCCUUUCCCACCCCAGAGGGCUCCUUUCUCCUACUAUCUCCUGAGAGGCAGGAAGUCCUUCUGUGGCCACGUCCACCAUCUCAGUAGCAAAGCUCAGCUCCUCAGCUUACCUGGAGAGUGCUCACUCUGGGGAAAACUAGCUGCUACACCACAAGAACACUCAAACAGCCCCAUGGAGUGGACCUAAUGGCAAGAAACUGUGGAUUCCUGCCAAUGGGCAACAAAAAACUAGGCCUUCUGAAGCAAAUAACCCUUCAGUGAGUGAAACUGGGAGUGAAUCUUCCAACCCCAGUGAACCCUCAAAAUGACUGCAGCCCCAGUUGACAACUUGAAUGCCAACUCAUGAGAGACCCUGUGCUGGAACCAUCAUGCUAAAUUGCUUCCAGAUUCCUGACUCUCAGAAGCUGUGAGAUAAUAAAUGCUCGUUGCUUUGUGCUGAUAAAUUGUGGGGUGGUUUGUUAUGUAGCAAGAGAUAACUAAUACAGGCAUCUCCCUCCGCACUCCACGCCAGACCCUCCCAACCUUGACUUGGAGCAGGGGAAGUUGCCAGGGCUGCAACAGAAGUGUCUGACAUCCCAAGGUGGAAUUCUGAAUGUCUUUACCAUAGAAACGUAGCUCU